UUCUCGUGGCAGUGGGGCUGGCUCAGCAUAUCCGUGUCAGUCACUUUCCUCUCAUUUCUAAGUGUACUUUUGUGCCAUUUAAACAGCCGAUGGUGACAUUGGUGUUGAGCAGGGCCAGCUUCUACAGCCCACAACUGAAGGCUUUGGGAGGGACCCAGGAGGGCAUAAGGUGUUUCGAGGUCCUUUCCUCUUGCCAGAACAACUCCUCUUGCAGUUGUUUUUUGUUUUCCUUUAGAUUUGCAAAACAGGAGGACUGGAGGACUCUGCUUUCUGCCUUGUACGAGGGAGCCAGAGUGCAUGAUCUCUUAACAAACUGGUGCUGCAAAAGAAGGCCAUUGUACUUCUUGACCCUCAAAGUAAGAACUGUGUUUUUGAGGAUGGCAGCCAGCCAGCCAACACAUGGCGAUACAAAGGAAGCAGCUUUCCAAUAAGGAAAUGUGGAAGUCCUUCUUCUCCCAAUCUCAGAG